GACGAACGCUGGCGGCGUGCUUAACACAUGCAAGUCGAACGGAAAGGCCCUGCUUUUGUGGGGUGCUCGAGUGGCGAACGGGUGAGUAACACGUGAGUAACCUGCCCUUGACUUUGGGAUAACUUCAGGAAACUGGGGCUAAUACCGGAUAGGAGCUCCUGCUGCAUGGUGGGGGUUGGAAAGUUUCGGCGGUUCGGGAUGGACUCGCGGCUUAUCAGCUUGUUGGUGGGGUAGUGGCUUACCAAGGCUUUGACGGGUAGCCGGCCUGAGAGGGUGACCGGCCACAUUGGGACUGAGAUACGGCCCAGACUCCUACGGGAGGCAGCAGUGGGGAAUAUUGCACAAUGGGCGGAAGCCUGAUGCAGCAACGCCGCGUGCGGGAUGACGGCCUUCGGGUUGUAAACCGCUUUCGCCUGUGACGAAGCGUGAGUGACGGUAAUGGGUAAAGAAGCACCGGCUAACUACGUG
rnacentral:rRNA from 1 species